CGAGCGACUAUCGACAAGGCUUGAGGCAAACGGAACGAGAUAUCGUCAUGCUUAUUUGAAGAAUUUGGAUAGCAAGUGGGAUAGUAUGAUAUGAUUUGAAGAGUCAAGCUUCCGAAGUUUUAAUUCUCGGAAGUCAUUUGCACAAGAAAUGCAAGAAGGUUUUCAUUCUAGUGGUCCGUAGUAGUCUAGAUGUUUUUGUCUAUGUAUUUGUCUAACGCAUUUUAACUCUGAUGUUUUUGUAAAAUGGGGUCACAUGUAUUUUGAUAUAUGAAAUAUGAUUUGAUUUGCGAAAAAUUUACACAGGAUUUUAGGCUUGCUACGGGUUUCGGAGCUACCACUCCCA